rnacentral:lncRNA from 1 species
AUGAGUUUGCAGACCUACAGCCCUCAGCAGCUGCUAACUCGACUGCUGCAGUGCACUGCCAUGUGCACAAUGAGGCACACCCGCAUGACCCACACCACUCCCCCAUGCAACCACAUGGCAUGUGUGGCUGCACCACACCCAGAGGCAAAGUGCAGGGCAAGGGCUGUGCACAGACAGAGGCACCAUGGGUCCGUGCAGUGUGGCCGUGCUGCUGGGUGCAGCUCUCCUGCUGCUAGCCCCCGGAGGCACCCAGUGUCCAGGCCCCACAGGCAGCGGAGGAAGCCAAGCUUGCCAAGGACACUGCCUCACGGCCUCUGUUCCCUCCAGACCCUGUUCGGGUCCAGGUGGGGCCAGAGCAGGACCACGACCAUCUCUACCACCCUUCGGCCAAGGCUGAGGUGGAGCCUGAACCCCAGUCCUGCAGAAAGCGCCUAGUUCUGUCGGCAGAGGUGGAAAAUGUCCCCUCGGAGGACCGUGACCACCUCCACCACAGCUGAGUGAGGCUGCAGCCCUGCCCUCUCCAUGGGCCCCCAAUAAACCUCUCCUUGUUUAGCAGCCUGGUGGGUUCCUGGGUUGACAGGAAAAGGGGAGUCCAGCAGGCCAGGGGGCUCAGCCUGUCACCCUGGCCCCAGUUCAGCCCAUGGGAAGGCCUGGCUCCAGGAAGGGCUCUCACCCAUCUCCAACACUUCUCAGUUUGAGGGCUCCCAGCAAGGAUGUUGAUGCACCAGCAGCACCAGGAAAGCCUUUUAAUAGCAGCAACGAGCCAAAACCCUGCUGGGCAUCUUGCCCAGUGUGGGCAUCAUUCAGUGCC